AUGAGGAAACCUGAUGAUACAGUAAGUGGGUGACGUCAGCAGACAAGGGGGCGUGGUCAGGACGAGUAAGACGAGUGCGACGUGACUGUUUGGUGGUGGAUGAACGCUGUUAACGGAAGUGAACAUGGGACGUGUGUAUCCUCUGACGUCCCCGUGCCACACCUUUCACAACUUCCUGGCAGCAGGCUCAGGAGAGUGCAGAGCCGAGCAGGGCACUAAGGGUGCACUCCAGGCCUCGGUUUCCAUUUUGGUGGCCAACUCAGGGAAGAGCUGCAGGAUUCCUCUGAAGUGACGACGCACCAUCUUCGCCGUGAUCUGACUGGAGUCCAGUUUCCAGUAGUUUUUCUUGCUGUGAGGUGAAUUUGGAACCACUGGAAUCUGAAGACAAAACUCCAGUUAAGAUGUGUAUUUUCCAGAUGAGGAGUAUUUUAGUAAGAUCAUAUAAAAUAUUCAAACUUUUUGAAUGAAUAUUUACCUUAAUAAAACACAAGUAGGUGGACAAA